GAGUUGCGAACGGGUGAGUAACGCGUAGGUAACCUGCCUGGUAGCGGGGGAUAACUAUUGGAAACGAUAGCUAAUACCGCAUAAGAGUAGAUGUUGCAUGACAUUUACUUAAAAGGUGCAAUUGCACCACUACCAGAUGGACCUGCGUUGUAUUAGCUAGUUGGUGGGGUAACGGCUCACCAAGGCGACGAUACAUAGCCGGCCUGAGAGGGUGAACGGCCACAAGGGGACUGAGAUACGGCCCUUACUCU
rnacentral:rRNA from 1 species